rnacentral:tRNA from 1 species
AUUAAAAUGGCAGAGUUUAGUGCGAUAAUUUUAAGAAUUAUAUACAAGUUUUAACUUUUUUAAUA